UCCGUAGGUGAACCUGCGGAAGGAUCAUUACCUAGAGUUGUAGGCUUUGCCUGCUAUCUCUUACCCAUGUCUUUUAAGUACCUUACGUUUCCUCGGCGGGUCCGCCCGCCGAUUGGACAAUUUAAACCAUUUGCAGUUGCAAUCAGCGUCUGAAAAAACUUAAUAGUUACAACUUUCAACAACGGAUCUCUUGGUUCUGGCAUCGAUGAAGAACGCAGCGAAAUGCGAUAAGUAGUGUGAAUUGCAGAAUUCAGUGAAUCAUCGAAUCUUUGAACGCACAUUGCGCCCCUUGGUAUUCCAUGGGGCAUGCCUGUUCGAGCGUCAUUUGUACCCUCAAGCUUUGCUUGGUGUUGGGUGUUUGUCCACUGCCCUUGUGCAGGACGGACUCGCCUUAAAACAAUUGGCAGCCGGCAGAUUGGCCUGGAGCGCAGCACAUUUUGCGCCCCUGGUCGACACUGUUGGCAUCCAUCAAGACCUUCUUUUAGCUCUUGACCUCGGAUCAGGUAGGGAUACCCGCUGAACUUAAGCAUAUCAAUAAGCGGAGGAA
rnacentral:rRNA from 1 species